rnacentral:rRNA from 1 species
GUGGGGAGCAAACAGGAUUAGAUACCCUGGUAGUCCACGCCGUAAACGAUGUCUACUUGGAGGUUGUGCCCUUGAGGCGUGGCUUCCGGAGCUAACGCGUUAAGUAGACCGCCUGGGGAGUACGGCCGCAAGGUUAAAACUCAAAUGAAUUGACGGGGGCCCGCACAAGCGGUGGAGCAUGUGGUUUAAUUCGAUGCAACGCGAAGAACCUUACCUGGUCUUGACAUCCACAGAACUUUCCAGAGAUGGAUUGGUGCCUUCGGGAACUGUGAGACAGGUGCUGCAUGGCUGUCGUCAGCUCGUGUUGUGAAAUGUUGGGUUAAGUCCCGCAACGAGCGCAACCCUUAUCCUUUGUUGCCAGCGGUUAGGCCGGGAACUCAAAGGAGACUGCCAGUGAUAAACUGGAGGAAGGUGGGGAUGACGUCAAGUCAUCAUGGCCCUUACGACCAGGGCUACACACGUGCUACAAUGGCGCAUACAAAGAGAAGCGACCUCGCGAGAGCAAGCGGACCUCAUAAAGUGCGUCGUAGUCCGGAUUGGAGUCUGCAACUCGACUCCAUGAAGUCGGA